rnacentral:tRNA from 3 species
GUGGAUAUAGCUCAGCUGGUUAGAGCGCCAGAUUGUGGCUCUGGAGGUCGUGGGUUCGAAUCCCAUUAUUCACCCCA